rnacentral:lncRNA from 1 species
GAGGCUAAAUUUGCAGAGUUAUCCCGGUUUGCAUCCCAUUUGGUCGAUAAUGAGGAGCGAAUGACACGAAUGUUUUUAAGAGGUUUGAAACCGGAGAUACGUCAAUAUCUUAUUUCUCAUAAACUAUGUUUGUACUCAGAUGUUGUAAAUAGGGCUCAGUUAUUGGAGCGCGGUAACGAGUCAACGCAACUAAGGGAAAGCAGCCGACAGCAUGAAAAUACCAGUGGUAACAGUCAUUGAAACGAUGAAAACAAGC